GUUUUUCGGCACGGCCCAGAUGACAAAAAAUGCAUAAUCAGAAAAUAAACUUCUCUGAGGUCAAUAUUUACAUCCUUUAUUGUGGCAUGUUCAGUAAAUCUCUCUUCUUCUUCGAAGAGAGAUUUUGUGUAUACCCUAUUCAGGAAGCGUGUAUGUGCCAUAUUUGAUGAUGAAGCACCAUUUCUAGAUGUACACUUCCCUGAAUCCAUCCUUUGUUAGCA
rnacentral:misc_RNA from 1 species